UACGUAGGGGGCGAGCGUUAUCCGGAAUUACUGGGCGUAAAGCGCACGCAGGCGGUUCGCCAAGUUUGGAGUGACAGUUGUCGGCUCAACCGACAAAGGACUUCAAAAACUGGUGAACUUGAGGACGAGAGAGGAACAUGGAACUCCAGGUGUAGUAGUGAAAUGCGUAGAUAUCUGGAAGAACACCAAUGGCGAAGGCAGCUCGCUGGGACGUGACUGACGCUGAGACGCGAAAGCGUGGGGAGCAAACAGG
rnacentral:rRNA from 1 species